rnacentral:rRNA from 1 species
GAUCAUGGCUCAGGAUGAACGUUAGCUACAGGCUUAACACAUGCAAGUCGAGGGGCAGCAUGGUCUUAGCUUGCUAAGGCUGAUGGCGACCGGCGCACGGGUGAGUAACACGUAUCCAACCUGCCGUCUACUCUUGGCCAGCCUUCUGGAAGGAAGAUUAAUCCAGGAUGGGAUCAUGAGUUCACAUGUCCGCAUGAUUAAAGGUAUUUUCCGGUAGACGAUGGGGA